AUGACCAUAGUCUCACAAAAUCAAUACAUUGCAGUUUAUUCGGAAAACAGCGCUACGAUUGUAUUCGUCAAUAAUUAAACGCAAAUACUUACGGAGGGACUUAGAAAUAAAUUAGAAAAUAGUUUUUAAUUGUUAACAGUCCAAUAAACUCGGUCCGAAUGGCGGCUUCAGUGGAUGAAGUUGAAGUGAUCAUUAUCAAACCAGACAAAAUGUCAAACAGCUGGACUGGUACAUUGAAGAUCUGUGCCAUGAUAGUGUUUGUGUUUGCGUUGUACACUUACCUCCAUAUUUAUAUAAGAGGACUUAUAAUAAAAUCUAAGCAACUUGACCGUAUAGGAAUGUUGACAGUGAAGGCGGACAAUAUGAUGGAGCAUAUUUUUGUUAUCGACCAAAACAUAACCAUGUCUUUGGAAGAGCUGAUGGACUUAGAGUGAUACACCUUUCUUAUAAGAUAAAUAAUCUCUCUGUGUAUGUAUUUUGUAUAACAUGAGACUAUGAAUCAAUUAUUUUCAUAGUACAUGUCAAUAUUCUUUGUCACUUUUUUGACAAAAAGAGUGGCAGAGAACAUAGUUGUCUGAUCAGUGUAGAACCUUAGACUCACACAUACACUCAAAUCACAAUCGUUGGAUGUAAUAAGUGUUUCUGAAAUAAUAAUGUCUUCAUUUCAGUAACCAAAUUAAUAAUAUAUCAAAUAAUAUCAAAUACAUUUCCUAGUAAAACAAGCUUGGAACAACCUAUCACUAGCUGUUAAGAGGAUUAUGUUAAUUUUUAAUCUUUAGGUAGAAUUUCUGUGAUAUUUAUCUUUUUAAGUACUUAAUGCUGCUUUAUUUAUUGUAAUUUGUU